rnacentral:rRNA from 1 species
ACGAACGCUGGCGGCGUGCCUAAUACAUGCAAGUAGAACGCACAGUUUAUACCGUAGCUUGCUACACCAUAGACUGUGAGUUGCGAACGGGUGAGUAACGCGUAGGUAACCUGCCUGGUAGCGGGGGAUAACUAUUGGAAACGAUAGCUAAUACCGCAUAAUAUUAAUUAUUGCAUGAUAAUUAAUUGAAAGGUGCAAUUGCACCACUACCAGAUGGACCUGCGUUGUAUUAGCUAGUAGGUGAGGUAACGGCUCACCUAGGCGACGAUACAUAGCCGACCUGAGAGGGUGAUCGGCCACACUGGGACUGAGACACGGCCCAGACUCCUACGGGAGGCAGCAGUAGGGAAUCUUCGGCAAUGGACGAAAGUCUGACCGAGCAACGCCGCGUGAGUGAAGAAGGUUUUCGGAUCGUAAAGCUCUGUUGUAAGAGAAGAACGGGCGUGAGAGUGGAAAGUUCACACUGUGACGGUAUCUUACCAGAAAGGGACGGCUAACUACGUG